rnacentral:rRNA from 1 species
CGGGUGAGUAACGCGUGGGUAAUCUACCCAUGAGGUGGAGGAUAGCCUCGGGAAACCGGGGGUAAUACUGCAUACGUCUCGACUGACAUAAGUCUAUCGAGGGAAAGGCGGGGAUCUUCGGACCUGUCGCCUCUGGAUGAGCCCGCGUCCGAUUAGCUUGUUGGUGAGGUAAUGGCUCACCAAGGCAUCGAUCGGUAGCCGGCCUGAGAGGGUGAACGGCCACAUUGGGACUGAGACACGGCCCAGACUCCUACGGGAGGCAGCAGUGGGGAAUUUUGGGCAAUGGGCGAAAGCCUGACCCAGCGACGCCGCGUGGAGGAUGAAGGCCUUCGGGUUGUAAACUCCUGUCAGGUGGGAAGAAGAGUUCUACGGAUAAUACUCGUAGGAAAUUGACGGUACCACCAAAGGAAGCCCCGGCUAACUCCGUGCCAGCAGCCGCGGUAAUACGGAGGGGGCAAGCGUUAUUCGGAUUUACUGGGCGUAAAGCGCACGUAGGCGGCAAUGUAAGUCACAGGUGAAAGCCCUCGGCUCAACCGAGGAAUUGCCUGCGAAACUGUAUUGCUUGAGUCCGG